UAGUGUCAAGUUAUUUUUGAGUUAGUGGAGAGAAAAAAACCCUUAAAACACGAAAAAAAGUAUUUUUCUUUAAUUUUCCAAUAAUGCAGUAACAGCUGAAGAGAUUUUCCUCAAACUUUCAAAUAAAAUUAACUUCAGGUCUAGAUAAUUAUUCAUAAAGUUACAUGCAUGUGAAAACAAUAGUAAUUAAAGUUUUAACAGAACUAUAACUGUAGUAGUCAGUAUGAGGAAACUGCAAUAAUAAUCACUUCAUCUCCAAGGGCCAAAUUAUGCCCUUUGAUACACAGGACUCCUGUGGAAAUCACUGUGAGCCAACUACAAAUAUCUGAGGGCAGAAUUAGGCCCCAAGUCAGACACAUUAAGGAACAAUUUGCUGUGAAUAUACAAUGAAAUGAUCUACCACUAAUUCCUUCAGCCUUUCCCUAUAAUCUCUUUCCCCUUUUCAUUACUUGCACACUUUUUAAUGAUUGGAAAACAUUUUUGUAAGAGCACAUUUGUAAUUUUCCAUUAUUUUUUGCAAGUCAUGAGACCUGACUUUUUGUCCCAGGUGGUCGAAUGUCCAACAGUGCACAAUGGUGUGUGACGUACAGCAAAGAGGCUCAAAGUACAUGGGAUACAAAACUUCAUUUACCCUUUGCUUGAGAUGUCUUAAAGACAUUAGAUUCCUGUGACAUAAAACUAGUUACUAAAUAACAGAGAUUUAAAGAUUAGCACUGGCUAGGCAUCCAUAUCUCAUCAGGACGCAGAUGGAUAGCGAGUGGAGUGAGGAAGGUGAUAAUAUAGUCAGUUCAGGACUAGAGUGGUGAAACAAUUGCAUAUUGAAGGUUAAAUUUUGGAGAGCCAGACAAAGUGCAAGAGUGCUGUUAUACUAAUGGAAGGUGUGCACGCUCAGCUGAGCCAGCGGGCUGGUGCAUAUUCUGUCUCUUUGGAGACAGCAGACUUGGGAAUUUCUGUGGGCAUGCUGGAUACUGCAGAGGAAUGCUCUUCUAGGGGUUCACUGAAUGCUACCUGCAAAGCAAAGUGAAGACAAGCAGGGUCUCAAGGAGUUUCCUGGCAUACAGCAAAGCUCAAACGAAGCCCCCUCCUUUUGGAUGCAGCAAGGAUUAUUCAUCCUGACUAUGGUGUUGUGAUGAGGCCAAAACAGAGAUUUGCCACACUUCAAAUGCAGCAAUGAGGCUUUUAUGUUCAAGCUGCUCCUGUUGAUACUUGAAGCUAUGCCAGAUGCCCCACUUCUAAUUUUGGGACUAGCAAUCAUAGGCUAUUACUUUAUUACUUGAACAUCACUGCAGGGCUACAGCUUCCCCUGCCUCUCCCGAUCCUAUCAGGGAUACCUCUGCUAGGUAGGCAGAACAAAGAGCUUGCAAUGUCAAUGAACAGCAUAUUUCUAUUAUGUGAAAUGUAAACUACUCCUUGGAUUUGAUGCAAGCAGGAAUUAGGUCAUCUGAUAACCUGGCAAGCUACACAAAGGACACAGAGGCAUUUGUAUGAGCAAACAUUUAUGUAAUCAUUUCACUUCAAUCCUGAGUACCAAUGGUUAGUCCUUUAAUGUGCACUUUGCAUAACCAUCAGAUAAUGCCCAGCUUCUGCUCUGGUUUUUUCCCUGUUUCUGGCUAUUGUCCUCCCUUGAACAUUUCUGCAUUUUCAUGUAACACUUACGUUGUGUAACCACUAAACAGAUUGUCCUAUUUUGCAAAGUGGGCUUCUCUGUAAGCUAGCAGACAUCUGCUAAACUGAGCCUUUAAUAAAGUCCUGUGCAUCCUAGAUCACCUUGGCUAUUAACUAUUGAUGAACAGGAACCACUGAACAAGUGUUUGAUUUUUUCUCUUUCUCCCCCUCCCCGCCCUGCCCCUGCCCAAACAUUCAAUAUAGCAGAGUUCACAUCAUAACUGUAUUUUAUCUUGGGGACUUUUACUAUCUUACCAUUUGAAUAAUUUUUAUAUCAUGAUUUCUUUGCUCUAUUUCAUUCCUUGUAAUUCAGGCCUUCUGUGAUGUCAAACAAAAUGAAAAUGGGGCCCCACUGGUUCUGGCAGAUGAAUUCAAACAAUACUCUGCAGCUUUAUUGUAGCAAGGCCUUUCGUGCUACUACGCUAAGUAAGGUGAUGUCAAUGGAAUCCUUAUUCCGAGUGGUUUAUUAUA